GGAAGGAAGCAUGAUAAGUGGACUGCUAACCAUCUCUGGAUACAAGGGUAGCCGGCUCCACGCACUGACCGCAGCUCUGAGGCUGACACUUCCCUGAAGACCCAGAGUGUGGAUCGUCAGUCAGGACUUCCAUCUUGCUCCCGCAGCCCUUCUGCAUGAGUGAAGUCAAGUGAGCGUGAGGCCGUUCACCACUCUCCUGGUCUUUUCCAUUUCUCACUUGGUGCUCCCCUCAGUAGCAGCACAUGCCUCUAAGCCCCUGUGUAUUCAUUCUGCCAAGAAAGUCCCAGUGCUGUAGUGCCACGCGAUUGGCCGAGAUGGCUAAGAUACCCCAACUCACUCAAUUCCCUCCUUCUCCUAUCACUAGACUGCAGGGGAACCAUUUUCAUUCCAAUGGUGUUAUUUUCCUGCCCCGUGUACCUCUUUCCCUUUCAGCUUUUACCCAGGAUCUUGCCAGUCUUUCUUACUGGAAAUUCCCGUCCUCAACCCCCUCCCCUUUGGGAGGUAGGAAGUCAUUUUUGCUGACUCAUUUGUCCUCUGCCCUUCUGCUGCCCCACGUUGCUUCCCCCUUUCUCCAGAGCCACUGGAGUCUUCUCCACAAGGUUUACUUUGCGGCCUUUAUGGAAACCAGCCCCUCUACUCUUUUGGGAUUUGGAGUUUCAGAGCGAGUUCCUGUUGGCUCCGGGCCCACUGUUCACCUGGGCUUCUGGCUUGCUUACGGUCCUACCUAUUUAUCAGAGGUGACAGCCUGCUGGCAGUCCUCAGAGCCCUCGCUUGCUCUCGGCACCUCCCCUGCCUGGGCUCCCACUUUGGUGGCAUUUGAGGAGCCCUUCAGCCCCCACUGCACUGUGGGAGCCCCUUUCUGGG
rnacentral:lncRNA from 1 species